rnacentral:tRNA from 1 species
UCCCUGGUGGUCUAAUGGUUAGGAUUCAGCACUUUCAUCGCUGUGGACUGGGUUCAAUCUCUGGUCUGGGAA